GAUGAACGCUAGCGGCAGGCUUAACACAUGCAAGUCGAGGGGUAUAGUUCUUCGGAACUAGAGACCGGCGCACGGGUGCGUAACGCGUAUGCAAUCUACCUUUUGCAGAGGGAUAGCCCCAGAGAAAUUUGGAUUAAUACCUCAUAGUAUAGCAGUUUCGCAUGAAACCACUAUUAAAGUCACAACGGCAAAAGAUGAGCAUGCGUCCCAUUAGCUAGUUGGUAAGGUAACGGCUUACCAAGGCUACGAUGGGUAGGGGUCCUGAGAGGGAGAUCCCCCACACUGGUACUGAGACACGGACCAGACUCCUACGGGAGGCAGCAGUGAGGAAUAUUGGACAAUGGGCGCAAGCCUGAUCCAGCCAUGCCGCGUGCAGGAUGACGGUCCUAUGGAUUGUAAACUGCUUUUGUACAGGAAGAAACACUCCCUCGUGAGGGAGCUUGACGGUACUGUAAGAAUAAGGAUC
rnacentral:rRNA from 1 species